GGGCUCUGCAGAUGCUUCUCUACCUGAUCGCUUUGUCGAUCAAUCAGGACACCUGGCACAUAUUAUAAUCGCGAUUUGGCACUGCAUAUGAGGGUACACAAAUUCAGGCACCAUCUGUUAUUCUGUCAAGAUUUCAGCUCAUCAAAGUUUUUAAUCUUCAUUUUAUGAUCUAACAAAAUAAAUAUGAGACAGGGUUAAGAAAAAAAAUGAUUUUAGCAACCUCUCUGGAGCAUUUCUGUGUAGGUUUCCACAACAUCCUAUUCACUAUGACAGUGUCAUGUAGAGUAGCUAAAGGCAAGAGUUAAAAUAUAGAAGCUGAACACAGAAGAAGUGGAAAGAAAAUGUUAAAUCAUCAUGGCUAGUUUUCAUAAUCUGGGAAUGUAUGGACAUGCUGUGUCAGAUAAAAGUGCAUUUGUACUGAUAAUGUUUUGCUGACUUUUGUGUGCCUCUCGUUUUUGGACUCUUUAGCUGUAAUUAAAUACCACUAAAUGGUUACUUGGAAUGAAUAGAGAGUUUCAGAAUUGCAGACAUCCUAGCAAAGAAAUAAAUGGUCACUACAUCAUUUUUAAAAGAUUUAUAUAUGUUGUGUGCAAAAUCAGCAAUUUAUGACAACUAUAAAUGUAUCAUUAGUGUUUAGAAAUUAUUCAUUUGUGGACCUGUGUCAUUAUUAGGAUACUAUUAAGCAAGCAAACUGCACCAAUAGUGGUGUAUGAUUUAUCUAACUUACUUAUAAAUGUAAAUCUCACACAUUUGCUAUUCUGUAAAUGCAGAAUAAUACAAGAAAAAUGACCAGCUAAUUAACCAAUAAGAUCAAUUAGAGAUGAAAAUGGUCGGAACAAAAGCGUACAGCUACAGUGCUCCCCUGGGACUGGGAUUGGAAAGCACCAUUCUGGACAGAACUAAAAUGAAAAAGAAAUAACCAGGUAAUAAAUACUCACUAUAGUAUCUGCUCAAUCGCAUGUCUUAGGUUGUGUUUGUAAAUAAUGACACAUGAUAUUCGUAAGCCUUUCCCCUUUGAUACAUUUUAGAUUUUGUUUCAUUAUAAUCAGAUAUAAUUAUAGACUAUCAUAAUAAAAUGUAAAGAUAUGAAGAAAGAUAAGGAAUAAGAUAAAAGAAAAGGAGGGAAUUUAUAAUAGAAGAAGCUUCUGUAUAUGGCCUCUUCUCUGUAGUCAUUUCCUGUGACAAAAAUGGUGUGGCGCUUGUCAAAAUUCUGUUUUUAAUAAAGAUGACAAAACCAUUGGUCUGUAAUAAUUUUAGAAAUUACAGCUUUUAUUUGCAUGCACUCGUUACAAAUGUGCAGUUAUCUGCAUACAAACAGGUUAAAAAUGACAAAUCUUUUAACAUUCAGGUAAUCCUCAAAGCAAAUGUAAAAACACAUAAAAAAUGUGAUGCAAUCAUAUCCUAAACUCAUUGUUCCCCAUUCUUUUCAGUUUUUGCUUGUUUGCU